UAGAUUUCAUGUGAAGCACAGUGAAAAAUCCAAUAGUAUACACCAAUAGCCGGGUCGUCCACGACAGGCACGUGGGCAAGUGCCAGUGGAGGCAUCCGCCUGCUACCGAGAUCUACCGCUGCAAUUGAUUAUCAGUAUUCGAGAUCAACGGCAACGUCAACAAAAUCUAUUGUCAAAACGAUGAGUACGGCUGCCAUCUGAUUGUUUACUUCAGACAACGUCUCCUGCAUCAGCGUCAGGACUUCGGUCGUUUCCUAUCGAGUUCAGCUACUUGCUGCCAAAAAUCGAGAGCAUUCCUGGAAUCCCAGAGAAACCGCUCUCGGAUCUCGGACGUUUGUCGUAUCACUCGUUCUGGAAGAGCGUCAUUCUUGAGUACCUCGAUUCUCAUCGCGAGGUCAAGGAGCUUUAGAUCGCUGAGAUCACAAAGGAAAAGGGUUUUUCUGGUCACGACAUCGCCACGGUAAUGCAGCUAUUGGCUUAUUUUCUGUGUCACGUUCCGAACGGUCCCAAAAGUGGUAAGCAUGUCGCCUGGCGCAUGAUGAUGCUCACACGGCUAAGGUGUGCAAGCAGAGCACCCAGCUGAAGCCGGAUUGUCUGCCCUCAAUACCAUUGCUCACGCAAGUAUCCAACGCCUAAGUACCAGUCUCCCGAGGAGAAAGACACAAGUUCGGAAUCGGCAUCACUGGUACUGAUGAACCAGCCACCACCAUGUGUCAGCACACCCGUAGUCACGAUGCCGGAAAAGAUUCUGCGAGUUAAGAUUCGUAAGAAGAUCCGCGGGCGAAAAAUAGGUGGUGCACGCAGGCAGAUUUUACCCAUGAAGCAUAAGACGUUGCCGCAGCAGAGGACAAAGCUGCUGAAAAAGAAAGAACUACAAGACGUGGAUAAGAUCUCGGGACACGUCGCGGGCACCGAACAGGACAUUAAGGGCGAUACUCUAAACGAAUCCAAGAGCAUCGUAACGACGCCCAAAACUACGCGAAAGGGGCCUGAAACUACACCUAGAAGUGCUUCAAACUCCAGCAUUUUACCUAAGACGCUGACAAGGUGCAACUCCAACUCUAACGUUACCGCGAGUACUCCGACGACUCCUCUCUUGUUGUCGUCUAGACGAAACGUAGGAACAGCGAUGAAGACCCCAGCGGCAACGGCAAGCAUAGCAAUAAAAACGACGAGUUGAGAUUGUUAGUAGCAGGAAGAGAACUUGAGUCGUGACUUGACGACGGAGAAGGAAAAUAAUCGGUAGAAAGAGACAGUAAAGUGAAGGAAAGCGCGAGAUUGAAAGAGCGAGAAGCUGCUGCAGCUGUAGAAGUAGGAGUUGCCAAGGUAAUAGCCCUCUCAAAGUUAACAAGCAAAGGAAGCUGGACGACAUACUGGUGAAAGUCUCGAAUUUAAAGUCUAAUUUCACGCCAGUGCGACAAGUCCGCGAGAAAAGAUGAUUCAGCUGAAGCACUACACCCGCCCUGUCGGUAUAAUCUGUCAAGCACAUAGCGCCGACUAUAGAGCUGUAAAUUUAGUCGCUCUUUAACCUCGAGCCUACAGAGCAUAUAUAGAGCAAAAUUGUUUUUUUCGGGCUGGCCCUGAUCAAGUUCAUUUGGACGUCUAGCUUCGCUGCUUACAGGGAUCCUUGAAGGUAUUUAAUUGAUGUGUAUGAGGGAAGUGAGGGACCGGCGCCUAGAAAAAAAGACACAGGUGAUAGCAAAUACAAAGGGGAAUCAAUUUAAAUAGGAUACGAUUUUUUAUCCGAACAGAGGUUAUGUCAGCGUGCGUCAGCCAUGAAGAGUGUUUGGAGGGUCGUCGCCUAGUAUAUCGCUACAGUAGACAAGAGUAAUACAAUUUACGAUGAAAAUUUAAUGUACAGAUCUUCAGAAAUAGAUGAGCAUUUUAUAAGACAGUAUACCUAGAUUAGCUAGGUAGAGUGUACUUCAAGAUUUCAUGUUAAGUAUGGUAAAAGGUCUAGUCGAAGCUGUUCUGUUGACUUUUGAUGGCUUGGAUCUGGCUUUUAAGAACUUCACGAUGACAACCGUGGCGAUGUGCCUGGUCUAGCAUACUGAGCGCAAAUUGACUCACAUCAUGGUCUUUAACGAGCUGUAUAACAUCAAGACCGUGGCAGAGAUUCAGGAGGUUCGACACUCUUUCGCCAUGUGUCUCAUCGAGGACAAUAUCAUAGCACACAUUUUCGUUUCAAACCUGCACGUCAAAGUAAUUAAUUAGUCACAUAGGGCUAAGCUUUCUGGCGAUGGAAGGUUUCGUCUUUUCCACGGACAUGGAUAUAAUGUGGCAGAUGACUCAGCUAAAGCACUAAGCUUGCCCUGUCUACGACCUGCUGGCACCGUAGUCGGUCAAGCACAUAGCAUCGAGCUGCAACCUUGAGCCUAAAGAGCACACGAGUAGAGUUUGUUUUUCGUGUCGACCAUGCUCAAGUUCAUUUGGACGUCUAGCAGCGCUGCUUACACGGAUCCUCAGAGCCCAGCUCCAAGAGACCGUUACCUAGAAUAAUAACUACAGAAGAUUGGUGCGUCGAAGCCCAAAGCAAGAGGCAAUGCAAACAGAGCAAUAAUCUUUCGCCAUCGAAGAGUUGUUUCAUCCAAAGAAUCAAACCAAUUCUGAUAUAUCCAUUCAAUAUGUACAGCAGAGUAGUAAAAGUACAAAAAUAAUAAGUUUGAGGUAUCUGUUUUACUAGGUGUGUAGUGUGAAAGUAUGCUGAGGUGAAGAUGGGUUAAGCGAGAGUGAGCAAGUGUGUGCGUGUGCGUGACUGUGUAUACGAUGUUUAUGUGUUUAUGCGUUUUCGAAUUCGAAAAAGUAAUCUUUAGCUAGUUUCUUGAAUACUGCGAUGGAUGUAGUGUUACGGAGGUGUGAUGGCAGGUUGUUCCAUAGGUAUGAGGCGCU
rnacentral:lncRNA from 1 species